GACGAACGCUGGCGGCGUGCCUAACACAUGCAAGUCGAACGGAAAGGCGCUGCGCUUGCGGGGUGCUCGAGUGGCGAACGGGGGAGUAACACGUGAGUAACCCGCCCUUGACUGUGGGAUAACUUCAGGAAACUGGGGCUAAUACCGGAUAGGAGCUCCUGCUGCAUGGUGUGGGUUGGAAAGAGUCGGCGGUUGGGGAUCGACUCGCGGCUUAUCAGCUUGUUGGUGGGGUAGUGGCUUACCAAGGCUUUGACGGGUAGCCGGCCUGAGAGGGUGACCGGCCACAUGGGGACUGAGGUACGGCCCAGACUCCUACGGGAGGCAGCAGGGGGGAGUAUUGCACAAUGGGCGGAAGCCUGAUGCAGCGACGCCGCGUGCGGGAUGACGGCCUUCGGGUGGUAAACCGCUUUCGCCUGUGACGAAGCGUGAGUGACGGUAAUGGGUAAGGAAGCACCGGCUAACUACGUG
rnacentral:rRNA from 1 species